AGUGAACGCUGACGGUAGGCCUAACACAUGCAAGUCGAACGGCAGCUCAGUAAGAGCUUGCUCUUACGGGUGGCGAGUGGCGGACGGGUGAGGAAUACAUCGGAAUCUACUUUUUCGUGGGGGAUAACGUAGGGAAACUUACGCUAAUACCGCAUACGACCUACGGGUGAAAGCAGGGGAUCUUCGGACCUUGCGCGAUUGAAUGAGCCGAUGUCGGAUUAGCUAGUUGGCGGGGUAAAGGCCCACCAAGGCGACGAUCCGUAGCUGGUCUGAGAGGAUGAUCAGCCACACUGGAACUGAGACACGGUCCAGACUCCUACGGGAGGCAGCAGUGGGGAAUAUUGGACAAUGGGCGCAAGCCUGAUCCAGCCAUACCGCGUGGGUGAAGAAGGCCUUCGGGUUGUAAAGCCCUUUUGUUGGGAAAGAAAAGCAGCAGGUUAAUACCCCGCUGUUCUGACGGUACCCAAAGAAUAAGCACCGGCUAACUUCGUG
rnacentral:rRNA from 1 species